GCACUUUGGGAUAAGCCUGGGAAACUGGGUCUAAUACCGAAUAUGACUAUGGCAUGCAUGUGCUGUGGUGGAAAGCUUUUGCGGUGUGGGAUGGGCCCGCGGCCUAUCAGCUUGUUGGUGGGGUGAUGGCCUACCAAGGCGACGACGGGUAGCCGGCCUGAGAGGGUGUCCGGCCACACUGGGACUGAGAUACGGCCCAGACUCCUACGGGAGGCAGCAGUGGGGAAUAUUGCACAAUGGGCGCAAGCCUGAUGCAGCGACGCCGCGUGGGGGAUGACGGCCUUCGGGUUGUAAACCCCUUUCAGCACAGACGAAGCGCAAGUGACGGUAUGUGCAGAAGAAGCACCGGCCAACUACGUGCCAGCAGCCGCGGUAAUACGUAGGGUGCGAGCGUUGUCCGGAAUUACUGGGCGUAAGGAGCUCGUAGGUGGUUUGUCACGUUGUUCGUGAAAACUCACAGCUCAACUGUGGGCGUGCGGGCGAUACGGGCAGACUGGAGUACUGCAGGGGAGACUGGAAUCCCUGGUGUAGCGGUGGAAUGCGCAGAUAUCAGGAGGAACACCGGUGGCGAAGGCGGGUCUCUGGGCAGUAACUGACGCUGAGGAGCGAAAGCGUGGGGAGCGAACAGGAUUAGAUACCCUGGUAGUCCACGCCGUAAACGGUGGGUACUAGGUGUGGGUUUCCUU
rnacentral:rRNA from 1 species